AAAAUCCGGGAAUCUCUAUGCCGAGCACCGAGACGAGUCCUAUGAGGACGAAGUGACUGACACCACGCUUCCAGGAAAAGCCACUAAGCUUCAGCUGUAGAAAAACCGUACCGCAAACCGACACAGGUAGGCAGGGUGAAAAUCCCAAGGCGCUUGAGAGAACUCGGGUGAAGGAACUAGGCAAAAUGGCACCGUAACUUCGGGAGAAGGUGCGCCUCUUGGUGUGGUCACGUGCAUGACUGAGCAUCGAGGGGUCGCAGUAACCUGGCCGCUGCGACUGUUUAUCAAAAACACAGCACUCUGCAAACACGAAAGUGGACGUAUAGGGUGUGACGCCUGCCCGGUGCUGGAAGGUUAAUUGAUGGGGUCAGCCGCAAGGCGAAGCUCUUGAUCGAAGCCCCAGUAAACGGCGGCCGUAACUAUAACGGUCCUAAGGUAGCGAAAUUCCUUGUCGGGUAAGUUCCGACCUGCACGAAUGGCGUAACGACAGCGGCGCUGUCUCCACCCGAGACUCAGUGAAAUUGAAAUCGCUGUGAAGAUGCAGCGUUCCCGCGGCAAGACGGGAAGACCCCGUGAACCUUUACUAUAGCUUUACACUGAACGUUGAGUUCUUCUGUGUAGGAUAGGUGGGAGGCUAUGAACCCAGGACGCUAGUUCUGGUGGAGCCAUCCUUGAAAUACCACCCUGAAGUGCUUGACGUUCUAACCUAGGUCCGUAAUCCGGAUCGGGGACCGUGUAUGGUGGGUAGUUUGACUGGGGCGGUCUCCUCCCAAAGAGUAACGGAGGAGCACGAAGGUACGCUCAGCGCGGUCGGACAUCGCGCACUGUGUGCAAAGGCAUAAGCGUGCUUGACUGCGAGAUCGACGGAUCAAGCAGGUACGAAAGUAGGUCUUAGUGAUCCGGUGGUUCUGUAUGGAAGGGCCAUCGCUCAACGGAUAAAAGGUACUCCGGGGAUAACAGGCUGAUACCGCCCAAGAGUUCAUAUCGACGGCGGUGUUUGGCACCUCGAUGUCGGCUCAUCACAUCCUGGGGCUGUAGCCGGUCCCAAGGGUAUGGCUGUUCGCCAUUUAAAGUGGUACGCGAGCUGGGUUCAGAACGUCGUGAGACAGUUCGGUCCCUAUCUGUCGUGGGCGUUGGAGAUUUGAGGGGGGCUGCUCCUAGUACGAGAGGACCGGAGUGGACGUUCCGCUGGUGUUCGGGUUGUCAUGCCCAUGGCAUUGCCUGGUAGCUACGAACGGAAGUGAUAACCGCUGAAAGCAUCUAAGCGGGAAGCACGCCCCAAGAUGAGAUCUCCCGAGAGCUUGACUCUCCUAAAGGCACCAUCAAGACUAGGCGGUUGAUAGGCACGGUGUGGAAGUGCAGCAAUGCAUUGAGCUUACGUGUACUAAUGAGCCGUGAGGCUUGACCA
rnacentral:rRNA from 1 species